AAUGUCAUGUCUGAUUUAGGUAAUAAACUGUAAAUUUAUUUAAGGAAGAUUAUUUCCUGGCAUUA
rnacentral:tRNA from 1 species